rnacentral:snRNA from 1 species
GGAUUUUAGGGUGAUCUGGCUGCGAAAUCUGUAACCCCAUUGACUCAGCUGAUCUGGCUGGCUAGGCAGAUGUCCUCGUCCUCUCUCACCGCUCCAGAAAUCUACUGUGCUCAUGUCUUCUUUAAGUUGACCUGUUCAAUCUCUUAUAUCUUUCUUUUUGGGGAAAGGUUAUCAGCAUCUCUCCCAAAGCUGUGUGCUCAAAGAGGACAAAGUUCCUUGAUAGAGGAAGACCUUUAUUCAGUCAAGGGUAUAUGAGUAGCUGUGCUCUUCUGCUAGAACCUUCCAACAAGCUCUCCGAGUCCAGUAAGCCAUUUGGCCAGCAAUUAGUUGUAUUACCAGCCUUCACUGUUUAACUUUCAAUCUUAGCAGAG